rnacentral:rRNA from 1 species
CCGUGCCCAAGAGAUCGGGAUAACACCUGGAAACAGAUGCUAAUACCGGAUAACAACAGAUGAUGCCUAUCAACUGUUUAAAAGAUGGUUCUGCUAUCACUCUUGGAUGGACCUGCGGUGCAUUAGCUAGUUGGUAGGGUAACGGCCUACAAAGGCGAUGAUGCAUAGCCGAGUUGAGAGACUGAUCGGCCACAUUGGGACUGAGACACGGCCCAAACUACCUACGGGAGGCAGCAGUC